rnacentral:lncRNA from 1 species
AUGAGGUUCAUUUGCCUGCUGUGCUUAAAAUCGGAAAUUGGAAAUGUGGAUGGGAGGAGGAUAUUUUUUUUUUCAGUCCUUUUGCUUACUGUAGGAUUCAUCUCCUCCCUUGUCCAGCCUUAUCUUACACAUCUAAUGAAGAAAGCACUGAAAUUCCCAUUCACACACAUCUACCUGCCUCUCCAUCCUUCCUACAGCAUGACCACAGGGGCUCUGGAAGGACCUCCCGGAAUACCAGCUGCAGGCAGAGUUAAUAACCUGUAAAAGAGCUGAUUCUGGAGAUCUGAGUGAAAUGGCACUUUUGGAAUCGUGCUUUUAACCGCACCACGCUGGGGAAAGUGCAGAAGCUCUGUAUACGUGCAUAUAAGAGUAACUCGUGCCAUGCAGAUGAGUUUGCAGACGCGGUGACAGAGAGGGACCGCAGGUGAGUCCCCAGCGAUCUGCUUUGCCAAGAGGAUUUUCCAGCCCCUAAUCACAGAAAAGCCCUCCAUCUGCUCCCCAGAGCUGGCGGUUCUCAUCUGUUUCAAGUGAAAAUAACCAAGAAUGUAAAAUGGCAGGUAAAAAAGAAUGCCCAGCCAAGUAGCCGCGUUGUCCUGCAUUCCCCCCAGCCAGCAUUCCCCGGUGCUGGGGUUUUGCUCCCCGGGCGAAAGAGCUGCAAAGGGUUAAGCCGCUGACUUUCUUGCUAGGCAAAGUUUGAGGAAGAAUAUAUCUGAGGCUGGAUACGCCGCAGCCCCGCGUUUGAAAUCUGUCACCCUCACUUAGGAGCGCUGCAUCUCUGCUUGUCACCGGUGAAUAAUGACGGCACGGCGAUAAGAUCGCUCGGCGGCGGUGCGCCGGGGCCGCCUGCGGGAAGAGAAGACAGGAAAUUGCGAGGCGUUUAGCCGCUUCAACGGGGUGUUCCUCUGUGUCAUCGGUGGGUGUCAGGGUCAAAUGACCGGCUGGAGAGCAGUUUGGCAAGAUAAUUUCUUUCCUCCUUUCCUUGAGAGCAACCUUGGGUGUUGGUGACCAGCUAUGGAAAACAGAGACCUCGGUGGUGAUCCUUAACACAGUACCAUGCUGGAGCCCAGCCGUGCUGCCACUUUCUCCCCUUUCAACCUGCCGGACCCGGUGGGCUUUGGGUGACCUACCGAGGAGGAACCCACUUUCGCAGGAGCAGGUAACGCCUGAUUAAGUCACUUUCUGGAUUGGUACAGUCUUGAUUUGACCAAAACGUGUCCUGAGUAUCAUUCGCUCGUUUGAAGUAUAAACUGGUUGAGGGUCCAGG